GAUGAACGCUGGCGGCGUGCCUAAUACAUGCAAGUCGAGCGAACAGACGAGGGGCUUGCUCCUCUGACGUUAGCGGCGGACGGGUGAGUAACACGUGGAUAACCUACCUAUAAGACUGGGAUAACUUCGGGAAACCGGAGCUAAUACCGGAUAAUAUAUUGAACCGCAUGGUUCAAUAGUGAAAGACGGUUUUGCUGUCACUUAUAGAUGGAUCCGCGCCGCAGUAGCUAGUUGGUAAGGUAACGGCUUACCAAGGCGACGAUGCGUAGCCGACCUGAGAGGGUGAUCGGCCACACUGGAACUGAGACACGGUCCAGACUCCUACGGGAGGCAGCAGUAGGGAAUCUUCCGCAAUGGGCGAAAGCCUGACGGAGCAACGCCGCGUGAGUGAUGAAGGUCUUCGGAUCGUAAAACUCUGUUAUUAGGGAAGAACAAAUGUGUAAGUAACUAUGCACGUCUUGACGGUACCUAAUCAGAAAGCCACGGCUAACUACGUG
rnacentral:rRNA from 1 species